GGACUGUCAACCGAAAGAUCUUCUGAUAAACUAUCUAGCCAUACGUUAACGGUUACCGGUUUAUGUGUCAAAUGAGGGGAAAAGCUUAGCUUGUCACAACACAAAGCUUCAAGAAUAUUUUUUUCCGUGGAUCCUGUCGAUUUUCAUUCAAGGGAAAGUCUGAGACCGAUCUGACAUCCCCUGGUGUGACAGAGAAGAGUGAACGGUCCCAGCCCUGACCAAGCUCUCCAAAGACGCCCAUGGAUUCCACUUGGCGACCACUCUAGCCCUCAGCAACAUGGAUGCAGAUGGGGCAAUGCUCAACAUUGAGUGUGAUCAUCAGUUGAAACUAAAGGAGGGCAGCUAUGCUCAGAAUGUGUGGCUGAA